rnacentral:rRNA from 1 species
GACGUAGGAGGCGAGCGUUGUCCGGAUUCAUUGGGCGUAAAGAGCACGCAGGCGGUUUGGCAAGUCGGAUGUGAAAACCCGAAGCUCAACUUCGGGCCUGCAUCCGAAACUGCCCGACUAGAGGUAGGUAGGGGAGAUCGGAAUUCCCGGUGUAGCGGUGAAAUGCGCAGAUAUCAGGAGGAACACCAAUGGCGAAGGCAGGUCUCUGGGCCACUACUGACGCUGAGAAGCGAAAGCAUGGGGGAGCGAACAGG